GACGAACGCUGGCGGCGUGCUUAACACAUGCAAGUCGAACGGAAAGGCCCCUUUGGGGGUCCUCGAGUGGCGAACGGGUGAGUAACACGUGAGUAACCUGCCCUUGACUUCGGGAUAACUUCAGGAAACUGGGGCUAAUACCGGAUAGGAAUCCUUGCUGCAUGGUGGGGGUUGGAAAGCUUCGGCGGUUUUGGAUGGACUCGCGGCUUAUCAGCUUGUUGGUGGGGUAGUGGCUUACCAAGGCUUUGACGGGUAGCCGGCCUGAGAGGGCGACCGGCCACAUUGGGACUGAGAUGCGGCCCAGACUCCUACGGGAGGCAGCAGUGGGGAAUAUUGCACAAUGGGCGGAAGCCUGAUGCAACAACGCCGCGUGCGGGAUGACGGCCUUCGGGUUGUAAACCGCUUUCAGCAGGGGCGAAGCUUGUGGUGACGGUACCUGCAGAAGAAGCACCGGCUAACUACGUG
rnacentral:rRNA from 1 species